UUUAUUAAAUUCUCUAUGCAAAAAUAGUAUUUGGAUUCUUGAUAAAUGCAUCUCAAUGUUUUUCUGAUCAUUUUUUCUUAUGUUCUGCAGCUUUUGUUGAUGUUUCUAGAUAACACUUGUUGAAAUUUGAACUGCUUUUGGGGUGAGUGAUCGACCUAAUUCUAGUAUGAAUUUUACAUGUAUACAAUAGUUAUUUAUCAUUUUUUUUUAAUUUUGAACCAACAGAUUUUGAAGAUUGAAGUUUCAAGUCAAGAUACAAGUUUGGAAGUAACGCACAAGCUUAUUAUUAGUUUUCUACGAAUGUUAUGCAAAACUCA
rnacentral:lncRNA from 1 species